UACAGAGGUCUCAAGCGUUGUUCGGAUUCAUUGGGCGUAAAGGGUGCGUAGGUGGCGCUGUAAGACGGGUGUGAAAUUUCGGAGCUUAACUCCGAAACUGCAUUCGAUACUGCGGUGCUUGAGGACUGGAGAGGAGACUGGAAUUCAUGGUGUAGCAGUGAAAUGCGUAGAGAUCAUGAGGAAGACCAGUGGCGAAGGCGGGUCUCUGGACAGUUCCUGACACUGAGGCACGAAGGCCAGGGGAGCAAACGGG
rnacentral:rRNA from 1 species